GACAGAGGGUGCGAACGUUGUUCGGAAUUACUGGGCGUAAAGCGCAUGUAGGCGGCAGCGCAAGUCGGGCGUGAAAUCCCACGGCUCAACCGUGGAAGUGCACUCGAAACUGCGCAGCUAGAGUCCUGGAGAGGAAGGUGGAAUGCUUGGUGUAGAGGUGAAAUUCGUAGAUAUCAAGCGGAACACCGGUGGCGAAGGACGGCCUCUGGACAGUGACUGACGCUGAGAUGCGAAAGCGUGGGGAGCAAACAGGG
rnacentral:rRNA from 1 species